rnacentral:rRNA from 1 species
CAUGAAGCCGGAAUCGCUAGUAAUCGCGGGUCAGCUAUACCGCGGUGAAUACGUUCUCAAGUCUUGUACUCACCGCCCGUCAACCCAAGGGAGUCGGAGGUGCCCGAAGUCUCGCCUCGUGCGGGCCUACGGCAAAUUCGAUGACAGGGGGUAAGUCGUAACAAGGCACGGGUAGCGGAAGCUGCUCGUGGAAUAUUUCAAGA